CCUACGGGGGGCAGCAGUGAGGAAUAUUGGUCAAUGGGCGGUAGCCUGAACCAGCCAAGCAGCGUGAAGGAUGACUGCUCUAUGGGUUGUAAACUUCUUUUAUAUGGGAAUAAAGUGCAGUUUGUAGACUGCUUUGCAUGUACUUUAUGAAUAAGGAUCGGCUAACUCCGUGCCAGCAGCCGCGGUAAUACGGAGGAUCCGAGCGUUAUCCGGAUUUAUUGGGUUUAAAGGGAGCGUAGGCGGGUUGUUAAGUCCGCUGGGAAAGUUUGCGGCUCAACCGUAGAAUUGCAGUUGAUACUGGCAUCCUUGAGUACAGGAGAGGUAGGCGGAAUUCGUAGUGUAGCGGUGAAAUGCUUAGAUAUCACGAAGAACUCCGAUUGCGAAGGCAGCCUACUGGACUGUAACUGACGCUGAGGCUCGAAAGUGUGGGUAUCAAACAGGAUUAGAUACCCGGGUAGUC
rnacentral:rRNA from 1 species